rnacentral:rRNA from 1 species
UACGUAGGCAGCAAGCGUUGUUCGGAAUUACUGGGCGUAAAGGGUGCGUAGGCGGCUUUUUAAGUUUGGUGUGAAAUCUCCCGGCUCAACUGGGAGGGUGCGCCGAAAACUGGAGGGCUAGAGUACUGGAUGGGAGAGUGGAAUUCCUGGUGUAGCGGUGAAAUGCGUAGAUAUCAGGAGGAACACCUGUGGUGUAGACGGCUCUCUGGACAGUAACUGACGCUGAGACACGAAAGCGUGGGUAGCAAACAGG